rnacentral:rRNA from 1 species
UACGUAGGGUGCGAGCGUUAAUCGGAAUUACUGGGCGUAAAGCGUGCGCAGGCGGCUCGGUAAGACAGGUGUGAAAGCCCCGAGCUUAACUUGGGAAUUGCGCUUGUGACUGGCGUGCUGGAGUGUGGCAGAGGGAGGUGGAAUUCCACGUGUAGCAGUGAAAUGCGUAGAGAUGUGGAGGAACACCGAUGGCGAAGGCGGCCUCCUGGGCCAGCACUGACGCUCAUGCACGAAAGCGUGGGGAGCAAACAGG